rnacentral:rRNA from 1 species
GUGCCUACGGGGCGCAGCAGUCGGGAAUAUUGCGCAAUGGAGGAAACUCUGACGCAGUGACGCCGCGUAUAGGAAGAAGGUCUUCGGAUUGUAAACUAUUGUCGUUAGGGAAGAGAAAGGACAGUACCUAAGGAGGAAGCUCCGGCUAACUACGUGCCAGCAGCCGCGGUAAUACGUAGGGAGCGAGCGUUAUCCGGAUUUAUUGGGUGUAAAGGGUGCGUAGGCGGUAUUUUAAGUUAGUGGUAAAACGUCGGGGCUUCACCUUGAUUGGCCAUUAAAACUGGAGUACUAGAGUACAGACGAGG